UAUCCCUAUGCUUGGUAGAGGGGCAUCUAGUUAGUGAUACCCAUCUAUUAGCACCAAUGACAAAGCAAAUUCCUUGUUUAUCCCUGCAUGACUUUUGGUCUGUGCCCUUGCCUGGUUCACGCAGAAUGAUAAAAAG